CACAAGCAAAUAAGACAACAAUGAAACCACUGGAAUCAAUCCAUAAACAGGCACUUAAAAUCAUUGAUAGAAAAUCACGACUAUAUCAUUACUGUAAAAUACUUGGCAAACAUAAAAUGCUGAGUUUUGAAAACCUGAUUAAAUUGUUUAA